rnacentral:rRNA from 1 species
CGGACGAACGCUGGCGGCGUGGAUUAGGCAUGCAAGUCGGACGGUAGGGCGUUUAUCGUAAGAUAGAGUUUGAGAGUGGCGAACGGGUGAGUAACACGUAGGAAUCUACCCUUAAGACGGGGACAACCCAGGGAAACUUGGGCUAAUACCGGAUGAGAGUGCGAGAGAUUGCAUUUAAAAGGAUGGCGAAAGUUGUCGCUUAGGGAUGAGCCUGCGGUCUAUUAGUUAGUUGGUGAGGUAAGAGCUCACCAAGGCGAUGAUAGAUAGGCGGCCUUAACGGGUGGUCGCCCACACUGGGAUUGAGAUACGGCCCAGACUCCUACGGGAGGCAGCAGUGGGGAAUAUUGCACAAUGGGCGAAAGCCUGAUGCAGCGACGCCGCGUGAGGGAUGACGGCCUUCGGGUUGUAAACCUCUUUCAGCAGGGAAGAAGCGAAAGUGACGGUACCUGCAGAAGAAGCACCGGCUAACUACGUG